GAUACCUCCUUUUAUUCAUGCCCUCUGAGGUAACAUGUGCUUUGUUCGGGGGGGAGCGCAACCAAGAACUGAAGCUGUUGAAAAGAUGAGGGUAGAGCAAAGGCAAGAGUAGAAGACCAGGUGAUAUUUGUCCUAGCUCUGAAAUAGCCUAGCUGUGAUCUCAGUGAAUUGACUUCUGUAGCCUUAAAGGUAUUUAGGUUCUCUGCUUACCCUUUGUAGGUGUGCUGUUUUCAGUCAUAGUCAGUCAUGUUCCCACCCAGAUGCUUAGGGUAGGAGGGGUUUCCUGACUGAAGGUACAGAUACAUUUGGUUACGGUAACACAGGACUUGGUCUCCUGGUUAGCCAGCUAUUAAAAACUCUAAAUAGCCCUUUUGUGGAAACAGAAAGGAGUGGGUUUAGAUACUGAAGAGCAAGUUUCAUGAAAGUAGGAAGUUGUAAUUAUCUACUUUAGACUCUUACUAGUGGGUGACAGGAGAAUUAGUUGAACAGCUGUGCAGUAACACUGGCAAAUGAAGAAAUCUGCUGAAAGGAAUCUGUGCACUUUGUCUACAGAUGCUAAUGUAAUCCCCUUAUGAGAACCAAAAGUAAAAGAAAUUACUGGUUAAAACUUAACUUCAGCUGGGGCAGGCUUUGGCUUUGCAUCCCCUACAAGAUCUGAAGUCCUACUCUGAAAGAAAUCUUGAUUAAUUUGGCUCUUUUGUUGCAUUUGAUUAUAGGAUAAAAUCCAUCGUGGCUGUUGGGCAAAUACAGAAUGUGGUUUGCAAAAAGGGAAAGCAUGGUUUCAGAGAUUGAAUUGUAUUUGGAAGUGGGCUGAGCUAGGCUGUAAGCAGCUCAGCUCUGGGAGUGGCUUCCUUCCGUCUUGCACACAGUGUCAGAAUGGAAGACUGUUGCACGGGGUUGUGGGAGUUGCUCUAGGUCACUUCUUUCACUUUUAUUAGCAAGAAGUAGUAUGCACAUUAAAUUUGCAGUCAACAGGAAGCUGGACAGAUGUGAAAGAUAAGAUAGCAUUAGAAUUCAAAUUAGUCUUGGGAACUUGUAGAAAUGGUUGUGACACAGAGGAGAUGGUGAGGAAAGACAAGAUCCUUUUCAGCAAAGCGCUAAAUUUAGAUUGGGUUAAACAACUGCGCAAAUUCAGAGGUGCCAGCUAGUUAGUAUUAUUUCAGCUAAGGAAUCUGGUAGUUUGUCCUGCCUGGUGGUAGAAGAGCAAACUUCAGGCUAAGGUUCACAAAGGGUGAUGUGUUUGGUGAGACUCAGUAUGAUCCUGUGCGACACAGGAGCACCCGUAAGCAUGCGGCUUGAGAUGCUGCAGUUUGGACCAGAGUGUGCAGUGGGGAGCGGUAUGACUGAAAUCUUGAAAAUGUGGGAAAAUGCACUUGGUGAGGAUCCACUGAAAGAACUGAGUCUGAAAUCCUGUGGCAGACUUGGCUUAAAUUGCAGUUAGGAGAAGUGAUAGUUUCUUCUAAGGUCAAAUGUAAAAAAGUAAGGAUAGGAAAUCACUGAACAGAUGUGCGGGGAGAUGGUAGUAGCUUGUCCACAAAUGGAAGUCUGUUAAGAGCAAGCAUCUGUCGGGAGUAAUAGCUACAUUUCGGCUUGCUUUGGGGCAGGGGAAAAGGCUGGCUGACUUUGCACAGUCCUUUCCCGUCCUAUUUUCCUUUGGGUCUGUGCGACUUGGGUCUCCAAGCAAGCCUAAAAGUUACAAGGUAAGUAACUGCUGGAGGAAGGAGUGUGGAAUAUAAUCUGGCAGGGAAAGCAGUUUGGAGCAGAGCAAGGAGCUCCCAGUGCAUGGUUCAACCUGUAAUCUAUCGAUCCUAUUCAGAGUCCACACUUGCUACAAUAUAGGCCCCUACGUUUAAGCCUGGGCUAAGUCACCUUUCUGAAAGGCGUAAGUACGUAUUUAUCUGUAUCCACAUCCAUCCGUUCUGGUGAGAUGGUGCCUAGUGAAUUUACGUUUACUUUCAAAUUGCAGGUAAAGAUGCUGAUUACCUGUUGGUGUAAAGCUAGCCUCUGCAGAACCUCUGAAAACACAUGGAUUUGUUGGAAAGUCCUUGGUGGUGGUUGGCAGGUGUCGGAAUAAUUUUCCUCCAUCUGUUCACUGUAUUUAUUUUGCAAACUAUACGGUGUUCAUUUUUAAAAGUACUGGAGUAUAGAUCUGUGUGCUUGCAUAGUAAGCUUUCACAGCAGGACUCAUCCUCUCAUUAGAAAUCAUCCACUGCUGCUCAGCAGGUCACCUGGGAUGUUUCCUUCAAGGCCUUGUCUUUAAAAGAGGCGAGCUGGCUGCAUUUGUGGCACGUGUUGCAUGUGCUCACCCUGCAAAGGACCUGGUCCGGGACCUGUGGGCUGCCACUUCCACCAUGUCUCUGUACCUUUUGCUCAGCAUUGUAAAGGGACAAGCAUCAAAUAGCCUGGAUCUGGGACCCUGCUGCUACGCCUGCUUGUCCUUGGACCCCUUGGUGGAGCUUACACCUUGUUUAAUGCACACAAAAUGCAGUUCUAGAGGAGCGUUGCUGCCAUAUGCUCAGCAGCCCAUUCUGGUGUGUUUUCAAAGUGAGUUUUGACAUCAGUUGUUUUGGAGUUCGUGUGUAAUUAACAUCAUCCAAGUUACUGCUCCCACCACCAUCUGGUCAGCACAAUAGUCGUUGGUAUACUGAAAGCUGGUGUUUACUAGGGGAGAAUGAGGGUGCUUUCACUAUCUGCAGCUUCUUGGCCCCAUCCAGCAGUACUGCUUUUAUGGGGUUUUGCUGUUGUAAAAUGACUCUGAGAUCUAUGCCACAAGUGGUUUGAGACGGGGAAGUAUUGCAUAACUCUGGGGAGACGAGUUUAAAACUUCCUUAGAGAAGUAUUUCACUUCUUAAACUCUUUAAAACCCAAACCAUAAGAUUAAAUUUUUUAUGAUGUCUCAGUUUGGACAAAGAGUUGUGGUGUCCUGAUUCAGGUAAGCUUGUCUGAUGUGAGUGAUGAUGUGAAUUGAAAGUGAGGGCUAUUCUGUUGAGUACUUAAAAUUUGUGUCCCACUUUUCAAAACAGACUUGGCUGAACUCCUUCCUGCAGCAGCGUAGAGUGAGAACAUUAUUCCCAGAGCACUCAGCUAUGGACUGGGGUGAUGUUCAACUGCCCCAGCUGCCUUCUCUUUUUUUUUUUUUUCUUUGCUCUUCUUUGCUAUAUCUUACAGCUACUCUGUGUCAGGUGAGGGUUUGAGACACUGUCUGAAUGGGUUUCUGGAAGUGUCAGGGCUGUGCCUCGUGGCUUGGUAGCUACAGCAAGGGAAAGGUCAGUGCUGUGGCCCUUACUUGAGAUGUGUGUGGCAGCAGUGGGAUUACUUAAUAGAAUACGGGGCUGCUCACAUCUCAGGGAAGCAGAUACUCCAUUCUCUUGCAAUUCUCAUGCAGAGGAAGAGGGAGAUCUCGCAAAAAAGAGACGGAGGAUGUCCCUGUACUGUCUGCACACAGCUUUUGCUUUUUUGCAGCUAGUGAUGCUUCAGUCUAGCAUACAACAACCUGAUUUUGCUGUGUGACCCUGCUUUAUCCUCCCAACAGCUCUUCCCAUGCACUGAAUGAGAUGUGUUCCCGUGGAAGAUGGAGGAUGCUAUUACAUGAAUGAAGAAUCUUGCAUAAUGCAGAAAGGAAUCAACCCAAAGCAAAUACCUGACAUGGAAGAAUUUCAGCCUGAACAUCUUUAAGUCAUUGGAAACAAGUCUAAAAUCAGGAUCUUGUGAUGGAAAAUGUUGGGUGACCUGAUCUUGAGGCUCUUCUCAUGUAGGGCAAGAAGAGACUAGCCCGGGCUGCCUGGGGAGAAGACGUCUGUCAAAGUACAGUCAUUGACAAAGGAGAGCCCCCUGCACUGCACUGAGAUUAGGAGGAACUUCCUGGUCGUGGGAACAUUUAGACAAGGAUGUAUGAGCCUCCCCCUCCUGCCCUGGUAGUGACCCCAGCUCCAAUCCCAGUCCUGCAGUGUGCACCCAUGACCGAGGCAGCUCAUGACUCUUCUUGGCCAUGGACUUCAGAGAGAGGUGAAACGUGGGGAUGGAGCUCCAGAGGGAGUAUUUGCAUUAUCAAACAUUGUGAUGACAAGCAUCUUAGGAUCUUGCAAAGCUGUAUUGCUAAGUCAGUCAACAAGGAAUGUAACUCUUGGCAUGUGUGGAAGGUGAGUGAAUGAUGUUCAAAUGGGAAGAUUACGUAGGGAUCUGAAGAAUACCUGAAGAAUCUGAAUUAAAAUGCUUCAAAGAAAGAUGUCAGGGGUGAAGAUCAGAAGAUUAUAAAGUGCUAAUAAUUAGCAAUUGGCAUAACUUGCAAGGCAGAAAGACUGUCAACGCACUUAAAAAUCUCCUCAUCUUGUCUAACUAAAUGUAAUUAGCUUUAAAAUCCAAACUCAAAGUGGGAUGAAAAUGUGCUUAUACCAUAUGUACAAACAAGAUAAUUUUGUGUCUGAGUUCCACCAUGAGAUUCCUUUUAAUACAAUACAUAAGUCAGGCUAUCUGAUUGCUUUCUGAAAUUAGUAUACACCUGUAUCAUGCCCUUGUCCUGAAUUAGAACAAUUGAGAAACACAUCUCAUCCAGCAUGCGUGACGGUCAUCAAGCAGAAAUAGCUGAUUGUUGACACACUAACAGGUUUUCUCUAAUUGUUGAUGAAACUCCAGAGUCAGUAUUUUGUUCUCUCCCUAGUGUUUAUUAAACAGACAUUAGUUUGGGUGUGAAGUCUGCAGGUGUGGAAAAUAUGUUUCUAUCAUCAGAGGUGGUGUUGCAGAGUGUUGUCUCACUUUGGGGUCUUUUUUUGUAUUAUAUUCUGGAAUAUUGCAAAUCAUGAUGUGAUAACUGGGUACCUAUAAACAGUCGCUUGGCAGCAUAUCUUCAUUAUCAGAGAUGUGAUGCAAAUGUGUCUUCAUACCUUAGGUGUUCCCAUGCCACGCACCUCCCACUCUGUUCCUGCAAGCAGGGGAGUUCACACCGAAGGUUACAGUUUAGUGUGACCUGAGCAAAAUUGCUUGUCAUUCCUUAGGUCUCUGCUGCAAGACUGAGAUGGCUCUAGCUUGGCUGUCUGGUGAGGACAAUCUUGGUACAAGGAAUUUGCAUCCCCUGCAGGCCUGGCUCUGAUACAGUGUUUUUUUCCCAGCUGGAGCUGGAAGGGCAUACACAGCAUUUGGGAGAAUGCUGUCAUUUUCCUUCCUUCGAAAGAGUCAACAGGCACAUCCAGAAGUGAAGAAGAAUACAUUUUCAAAAAGAACAAAAAGCAGAGACAAAUCAUUGCAAGGCUUUGGUUUGUACUCAUUCUGGAAAACAGGCAUGGUGUUUGCAAAAAUCUGGGGGUAGCUUCUGGGGACCCUUCAGACGUCAUGCAUUAAGAGGACAGAGCUGUGAAGCAGAGAAGUUUCCAAAAAGCUGAGGAACAAUGGAGUCUUUGAAAGAACAUUUGCUUUAAAGCAGUAAGCAAUGCCUUCUGCAUGGUCCUGCGGAGAAUUUUUUUUACAGAGAGAAACGUAUAAUGAAAUAUUUCUUUGGAAAAGAAAGAUCUGUUUUCCUGCUGCAGAACAUCGGAUACAUUUCUUUGAAAAAUGAGAUGUUAAAGCGGUUUGUGUGGGAUUUAAUCUGCUAAUCAAAUUUCUACCACUUCUGGACCUGAGUUACUAAAAUCAGCGUUCAGAGGAGCUUCCUAACCUGCUCUUUUAGUAAUCCUGGUGCAAGAUGAAAGAGAAGCAGGCUUCAAAACAGAUAAUGAAUUUCUUCUAACUCGUCUGGAGACUGAAGAGCCAUAAUUCUGAUUGAUCAGAUAUGGUCUGCUUUAGAGAGGCACCAGAUGUGAUCCAGAUUUUAAAUAGAUGCUGCUACUGUCAAAAUGCAUUCGCUCCCUCCUGGUAUAACAAAGUGAAGUCCAUCUGUCUGGAGUUGUGCACUUUUUUUAGUGGUAAUAACAGUUAACAUCAACAAUAAGCUUUGUCUCAUUAGUAUCACAUAAUCCCUACUACCAAGUCCCCAGUUUCUGGUCCCCAUAUUAUCUGCCAUGGAAAAAAUAAAGACCACAGCAGGAGCUAAGAAGGUCAGUGCAUUCUCAGGGUAAUCAGCUGUAGUAAAUUCAAUUCUGACAAGACAAGGCUUGCAAAUGUCUGGGGAAUUAAGGGAUCAUCUAUAAUUUCAUAUGUUGAGUGGGAAAGUGUCCUUCCAAACAUUUAUUAAUUACAGAUGAGGAUGCAUAUGGUGGUCAUCCUUGGAGAGUUUUCUUCUGAAGCAGACCCAGAAAAAUAGAUUUAACUCUUUGCUGCUGCUUCUAAAGAGAAACUACUCAUCUUAGCAAUCGGUCUUGCAAUAGUUUCAGUCAGCAUGCUUUCUCUCCCGGUUUUUAUUGCUCUGUAUUAGCAACAGAUAACUGUUACCCAUUAUGUAAUUUUUUACAUAAAAGUUUCCCACUGUAAUCAAUGGAGAAGCCUUUCCUUGGCUUUAGCCUGCCUCAGUACGAUCUCUCCAGGGUUUGCAGUCCUUAAGAGGUACCAAGUAAAGAACAACAGACUAAAGAGCUUCGCAUUUAGAAUUCAACCUUUCACUUGAAGAUCUUGGAGCAUUUUAGAAACCUUAAUUACUCCCCUUUGAGGUCUGUAUUGUCUUUUCUGUUUUAUAGGUGAGGAAAUUAAGUGCAGGGAAGUUAGAAUCUAAUGUUUUCCAACCUGAACAAGUAAAGUAUUAGAUAUCUUGGGCUCUGUCCAGGACACUUUUGGAAAUGAACUGAUCCCUGUAGUUCCUAUGCAACGAUGAGAUUUACUACUUAGGUCGACGUGUAUCUUCGUGGUUUCUAGGGCCCUCUGGCAGGGCUACGUGCAGCAUGGCUGGAGCCCACUGUCACUCAUGACGCAUUUCAGCCUGCUGCUGGGUAUGGCAGAGAUCUGCAGGGGCUUUAGCAUGGGAGCUGCAUUGCUGAUCAUCAUGCAUGGUACAGGUAAGGUUGCAAUCCCCUCAUGUCUUUGGGAAGUCAAACGUGGGUGAGUCUCUCUUGCUCAGACAUCCCACUUUUGCAGCAUGCACAGGGAGACAGACUGAACACAUAUAAAGCUUCCAGUAUUUCUGUUUGAGUUGUCCUUGCUGUGGGCCAGUGAUUGCUUUUGCUUUUUAUGUCAUGUUUUUGUCAAAGGAGAUAUAUGUUUUAAAAAUAUAAACAUUUUUUACAGCUUUACUUUUGCCAAUGUCGUGUUAAUUCACUGCAGACUUCACAGAGGUGACUUUGGGAAGCGUUGGUUCCCGUGUGCAGCAGGGAAGAGGAGAAGAGCAAGGCAGACCUCCAUCCUUUUAUCGUUGCCACAGUGGAUUUGCACAGGCAAAUGCUCAUCCCUGCUGCACAAGAAAACCAAGCAAGUCUGUAGCUGACACUAAGGUCUCCAGCUGACUUGAAAACUGGGAGUAGAUUACCGUGGCUUUCUGUCACUAAUGGAGGGCAGAGACAUUUCUGUAGUGCCCUGUUCCCCUCUCCCUGGAUGCUCCCUUGCCCUUUGCUGGUGGAAAUGUGGCAUAGGAUUGAGGCCCACCAUUUCCCGCCCAUUGCUGUCACAGCGUGCCAGUGACGUGGGAUGCAGAUAAGAGGUUUUCAUCUGGCAUACCCCUGAUAUGGGUCAUACGCCCUGUCUGUGGGUGCUGGAAGGAUUAGGGGUAACCUAAAUGGUGUGUGGUUGAUAGGGACUUGCCAUCUGAGUGAGGUCCUGCAUCUUGGCAGGUUUGCACAGCAUGGCCAGAGGUGAGGAGCUGCAGCUCCCCUUAUGGGCAGUAAGCACCUGAGCCAGGCUACAUUGCUCACAGUAGAAGAUCCACCUCUACCCACUGCAGAUAGCCCGAGGGUAGGAUAAGGAUAAGAGAGUCCCAGAAGAAAAAAUUAGAAAAGGAGAAUGAGGUCACAUUACUAAGGAUGAGAUCAAGGAAUAAAAUAAGCAUGUAGGGCAGAAAGGUUGCUGUGCUAAAUGAAUUACAGCCACUGAGGAUUGUUAGAAAACAAGGAAAAAGGUGCUAUAAAUACAGUAAAGUAAAAGAAAGACAGCAGCAGGCAGAAGCCCAUUACCUAAUGAGUAACAGGAGAGGUACAGAUGACCUAGAGAAGGCCAACUUAUUUAAUGCCUUUUUGCUUCAGUUUUCUCCAACAAAAAACAAACAAACAAAAAAAGGUGCUUCAGUGUGAUAUAAAGUGGCAAGGCACAACAGAAGCGGGAGAUAACAGACGAGGGAGAACACAGUUAAAAUGAACAUAUUCAUCAGAGGUUACAAAGGAAAGAGUCCAGUGAUGAGUGGCAUUCCUCAGGGUCCAUAUUGGGACCAGUGCUGUUUAACAUCUUUGUCAGCAACAUGGACAGUGGGAUUGAGUGCACCCUCAGCAAGCCUGCUGACAACAUCAAGCUGCGUGGUGUGGUCAACAUGCUGGAGGGAAAGAUGCCAUCCAGAGGGACCUUGAUGAGCUUCACAGGUGGACCCAUGCAAACCUCAUGAAGUUCAACAAGGCCAAGUGCAAGGUCCUGCACAUGGGUCGGGGCAAUCCCAAGCACAAGCACAGGCUGGGCAGAGAAGGGAUUGACAAUAGCUCUGUGAAGGACUUGGGGGUGUUCGUGGACGAGGAGCUCAACAUGACCCAGCAACAUGUGUGUGCAGCCCAGAAAGCCAACUGUGUCCUAGGCUGCAUCAGAAGUGUGGCCAGUGGUUGAGGGAGGUGAUUCUCCCCCUCUACUCUCUUCUGGUGAGACCCCACCUGCAGUACUGUGUCCAUCUCUGGGGCCCCCACAUAAGAAGGACAUGGACCUGUUGGAGUGAGUCCAGAGAAGGGCCAUGAAGAUUAUCAGAGGGCUGGAGCACCUCACCUAUGAUGACAGGCUGAGAGAGCUGGAGUUGUUCAGCCUGGAGAAGAGAAGGCUCUGGGGAGACCUUGUAGCAGCCUUCCAGUACCUAAAGGGGCCUACAGGAAAGCUGGAGAGGGGCUUUUUACAAGGGCAUGUAGCGAUAGAAGGGGGAAUGGCUUUAAACAGAAAGAGGAUAGAUUUAGAUUAGGUAAUAGGAAGAAGUUGUUUACUGUGAGGGUGGUGAGACACUGGCCCAGGCUGCCCAGAGCAGCUGUGGGUGCCCCAUCCCUGGCAGUGUUCAGGGCCAGGCUGGAUGGGGCUUGGAGCAACCUGGGCUGGUGGAAGGUGCCCCUGGUCAUGGCAGGGGGGUUGGAGCUAGAUGAUCUUGAAGGGACCUUCCAACCCAAACCCUUCUAGGAUUAUAUAAAACAGGCAGCUUUGGGGUGCAGAUAUAAUCUCAAAGAAGAGAGAUAUGUGGACCUAGGGUUAUAUAAAGGAGUCAGUCCAAACACUUAGCAGGAGAGGCAUUUGAAUAAAAAAUAAACUGUACAUACCUAGAGAUCAGUGUGGUGAUAAGAAACAGCCAGCUGGAUUUGCUGGAGAGCAAAUAUUGUCCAACCGAUCUUGCAUUUGUCUGUAAGAGGGUGGAUGUCUCUAAGAGGCAGGCAAUGCAGCCACACAUCUCAACAUGUGCAGGUCUGGGUGCAGUAUAGCUUUUGGUGCCAUGCCAUCCCUGAGAAAUAUUUGUCUCAAGUAGGUCUGGACAGGAAUCAAGGGCACCCAAGCUUUUCCAGUGGCUUCAUCACAGCUUCUCACAUGGCUUUGGAUAAAUGCAACAACCGUAUUGCUCUCUGUCAGAAAAGUGGAAUAACUAGCAUCCCAUAUUACAUCAGGGAACAAUGAUAUUUUUGUCUGCUUUGACUGUAAGCUGUUUGAGUCUGUUAUGUGCUUGCAAACAAGACCAUCACUGGAAUUUUAGAUGCUCCCAAAUGCAAUUAAUAGGGGCAGGUGUCCCCACGUGCAGGCUGCUGGAUGCAUUCACAUGAAGGACCGCCUUGUGGGGUGCUUCCAGUCUGCUGCUGGAUGUUAUCUGUAGCAGUAUCAGGAGCAGAAAAGGAUGGCUCAAUCAGAUUUAUCUUGCUCUUACACAUGGUAAGUGUUUCAAAACACUGAAAAAGUAAAAGAAGUCUGAAAGUCAUGGAUGAGUUGGUAGUAGGGAUUCUGCUGGUGUGUUUGGUUGAGAAGAAGCAAGGGAGAGGGAGACCUGUCAGGGCCUUUGGAGACAAAGGAAAGGAGGUGGGUUUUAGGAUUCCUGCUUCCUAGUACUUCUUCCAUCUGUACCUACUAAUCCUACCACCAGCCUUCUAUUUGCAGCUUUAAAGAAGUUCAAAACAUUCUCAGAUUUUCAUUCCAAGGGCAGAGUGUUGUUUGGGGAUUAUGGAACAGGAGAUACGCCACAGAAAGACAAGAAUCUACACAUUCAAUCCUGCAUAAGAUUAACAUCAGGAACAGGAGGUGUUUAGCACUGGAUGAGCAUAAGCCUACAUUUUUAAUCCAGGAAUUAUUUGGAGAGAGUUGAAUCUGCCUGAAAGCCAUGAAACAAGGGUGUGAGCAUGAGAACUGACUGUCAUGUGAGAGGUGCAGUGAGAGGCAUCCCAGGGCAGCCUGUGAUCUAAAUCCCCUUUUCCUGAACCCAGACUUAUCCAAAGGAGGCCCUUCCUUCAGCUGACUCCCAGUUCAGCCUGUUAUUUUAGAAAAGGUGGGAUCUUUGGCACCAGUAAGAAGAGGUAAAGGAGAAAUCCCCUCUGUGGCAAAAGACAAGUCACCCAACUUUGCUGCCUGAGCUCGUCCGUUCUGCAAAAUAAGGACAACAGAACCCGGCUGCUUCAACAUGUUGUGAGGAUUAAUGGAUUAAACAGGUCUGAUCGUGCAUGAAUUGAAGGUUGCCAGUUGCCAAGUGUGUUGGACAUGGCAACUCUAUGUGUUGGUAAAUAUCCAGUCAUGAAUUCUUAAUGAAUAUUCUGAAUAGUGAGGUUCUUCUAAGUAUCUCUGAGGAUUCACCCUACAGUCCCUGGGUCUGGGCAUGUAAAAGGAACCAGGACAAACAUAGUCCAUCCUUUCUGCCAUGUCGGCAAUUCAAGCCUUUCAUUGUAUGAAUCAUGUUUGCCACUCUACCCCAGGUGCAAGGCCUCUGGCAAAUGACACUGUUGUGUCCCCUGUUUGGGAACAUCUCCUGGGGAGGCAGCUGGGUCCUUCCAACACAACUGCAAAGUAGUCACCCACCCAGAGCAACCUGCAUGACUCCCAGCAGGAUGCAGACUGGGAGGAAGGGCAGGUGCAUCAGCAAGAGGCAGCAAGAUUGUGGGUCACACA